rnacentral:rRNA from 1 species
AGUGAACGCUGGCGGUAGGCCUAACACAUGCAAGUCGAACGGCAGCACAGUAGGAGCUUGCUCUUACGGGUGGCGAGUGGCGGACGGGUGAGGAAUACAUCGGAAUCUACUUUUUCGUGGGGGAUAACGUAGGGAAACUUACGCUAAUACCGCAUACGACCUACGGGUGAAAGCAGGGGAUCUUCGGACCUUGCGCGAUUGAAUGAGCCGAUGUCGGAUUAGCUAGUUGGCGGGGUAAAGGCCCACCAAGGCGACGAUCCGUAGCUGGUCUGAGAGGAUGAUCAGCCACACUGGAACUGAGACACGGUCCAGACUCCUACGGGAGGCAGCAGUGGGGAAUAUUGGACAAUGGGCGCAAGCCUGAUCCAGCCAUACCGCGUGGGUGAAGAAGGCCUUCGGGUUGUAAAGCCCUUUUGUUGGGAAAGAAAAGCAGCAGGUUAAUACCCCGCUGUUCUGACGGUACCCAAAGAAUAAGCACCGGCUAACUCCGUG